GUCAGAGUUGAAAGCCACUCGGAGAGAGCCACUUUCCACACUCCCCAGGCCCGACCUCAGCCCAAAAGUCCUCCUGGCUCCUGCACUCACCAUCCGGUGUCCUUGAGAAGUCAUUUCACCUCAUGUCUCAGUUUACUCAUCCAUGCGGAGUGGGCAGGACCUCAUGUCCCAGGAGAUGCAGGGCACAUCUGGGCACAGAGACUAGGAAUGGUGUCCCACGAGGGCCUGGCUGGCACUAUACCCCGGCAUGAGGACAUGUCCCCUAAGAAGACCUACCUUGGGAGGUGCCCUGUAGAAGUGACUGUAUGCAGCCUGGAGCUGGAAGCAGAUUCCAAGCCCUGGUGGAAAAACUGCCCAGUCCUGGUGGAAGUCACAGCUGGGGCAGACCUUAUCGUUGCUGCUUGGCCAUGGACCUCAAUUCUCUUGUGGCAGCAGGGACAGAGCCUGUGUAGAAAGCUGGCUUCUCUGCUCCUGCCUGGUCUACCACUUGGCUAAAGUUCAGAGACAGGAAGUGACUGGCCUAAGAUAACACAGCAAGUUGGUGGCAGACCUGGCUCUAGAGGCAAAACUUCCCUCCGACGUGAACAAUACCUGCAGGCUUCAUUUUUCUUUCUGAGCAGUGGUUCUUUGGGGUCAUGCAGUGCUUUGAAAAUCUGACAAAAGUUAUGGACCUUUUCCCCAGGAAGACACACAUAUUCACAUAGACUCAAAAACCCCAAGCAAUUUCAGGAGCCCCUUGCACGCCCUGAAUGAAACCCAUCCCUGGACUGCAGACUAAGAACCUCAGCCCUGGGGGCUUAACCUGCCACUCCUUCCCCACCUGACCCUCACAGAGCCCCCAGUCAAGGCCACCAUACAAGUAAUUUUUCUCCUCCUACCUGGCUGAGCCUCUUUCCCUUGUUUGGGAAUAAAGAAUUCAGAGGAGGGGACCCUUUUAAUCAGUCCCUUCUCCCAGGCUUAACAAAGAACUCAUAGGUUUCUGGAACCUUAUUUACCUUCCCCAGACUUCGCUGGAGAUUCCCUGGGUUGAUCUGCUGUUCUGGUUUUGUGUUUCUUGUUCUGCCUAACUGGCUGCUGGUUUUCAUAAGGGAGCCCUUCACUCCCGGCCUGGGCUCUGAUUUCACUGAGGUCCAGGGGGAAGGUGGACUUCUGGGGACUGUGGUGGAAGCAUGAAUUUGGCUUGAGCCUACUCCAGGGAGUAGGAAUCCUGCUUCCACCAGCCCAGCCCAGAUAGCCGUGCCUCCUGCCCGACCAGCCAGGCAUCGUGUGGGAAGGCUGGGGAGGAAGAGGAUGAGAGCUUUGCUCUGGGUGCCCACAGCUCUGGACAGGGUGAGAGGCUGGUGGAGGAGCUCUCUGUGUGUUCCCGGAGGGUCCAGCAGUACAAGUGGGGCGGGGGGGGUGCAGGGCAGCAGGGCAAGGACUCUGCCUGUCUCCACACCUGAGUGGGUCAGCCUGGAGCCCCGUGGUGCUCACCUGCCUCCGCAGCAUGAACCACACAUCAGAGAGGCAGCAUUGACCAGGGCUGGCUGGGUUUUGGUCAGGGUUGUCAGGAGGCAACCUAUGGAUUCAUGCCCUGGGGUCUUGUUUGUCCUGUCUCCCAUGCUUGGCCCAUAGGUUCUCACUAAGCACUUUCCACAUGCCUCACCCGGGGUAGCAGAGCGCUCUGGGGGAGAUCGGAAAAGAGAGGCCUCCGUACCUCCCUAGGAGCUUCCACUCUGGCUCUGGCCCUUGGCCAACCUAGAGGAAACCUCGCCAACACUCCCCUUCUCCACUGACUGUCCAGCUGGUGUCCCCCCGCCUGUGCUGUGCCCUUCCUACCUCUGUGCCUUUUCCUGCAUUGCUCUGAAAUGUCCCUGUCCUUUCCUCCACCCCGCUAAGCCCUUCUUAUCACCAGGGCCUUCUGAGCCACCCAGCCCACGUCCUUCCCGCCUUCUCUGCAUGGUAGAUGUGUUAACACGAUCUCCCCGCCCCCUUGGGUAUCGCGUGCUGUCUUGUCUUAUGCUCCAGUGUCCUUGUGUGUCUGUGUGUGUGUCUUGAAUCCUCAACUAGACUGUGAGCUCCCUGAGGGCAAGGGACUGUGUCUUUAUUCUUUAACCCCAAUAGGGUCUAGCACAGGGCUGGGCUCAUAACUCAGGAAACACUUGUCGACUGACUGAUGAAUCUGCUGGGAGCCAUGGGGUGGCCGCUAUGGGAUUGUGCAGGGGGAGAGGGUGUGUGAGUUACCUAGUGGCUGCGUUUUGGUGGGCUGGCUCUCCUGGGUCAUAAUGGGGCUCAGAGGCCUCAGGUCCUCCCCUGGUUGGGGCAGUGGAAGCAGAAGAGACCCCCUAUAGCUAGGCAGGAGUGCAUGGAAAUGGUCGUCCAGGCCAGAUAUUGCUGUGGGUCACUGACACCUGCUGGAGCUGACUGCGUGGAAUAAAUGUUCUCUCGACA